rnacentral:tRNA from 1 species
GCGGGCAUGGCGGAACUGGUAGACGCACCGGACUUAAAAUCCGGAGCUGGCAACGGCGUGCCGGUUCAAUUCCGGCUGCCCGCACCA